rnacentral:rRNA from 1 species
UACGAAGGGUGCAAGCGUUACUCGGAAUUACUGGGCGUAAAGCGUGCGUAGGUGGUUCGUUAAGUCCGAUGUGAAAGCCCUGGGCUCAACCUGGGAAUGGCAUUGGAUACUGGCGAGCUAGAGUGCGGUAGAGGGGUGCGGAAUUCCCGGUGUAGCAGUGAAAUGCGUAGAUAUCGGGAGGAACAUCCGUGGCGAAGGCGGCACCCUGGACCAGCACUGACACUGAGGCACGAAAGCGUGGGGAGCAAACAGG